rnacentral:lncRNA from 1 species
CACGCUUUUUCCUUUCUACCAUAAACUCAAGCAUUUGUAUAUAAAUGCCACUCGUACUCAACUCUAUUAUUCAAUAUAGGACUAAACCUACCACAUACACACACAUUCUCUCUAUUUUAUUGAAAACAUAGAAAAGCAAUAUAUAAAAUUAUAAUAUUUUGAUGGACAUGGGUUCUAUGAGUCCACUCUUAAAAAUCUAUUUUUGAGAUGGAUUUUCAGACCCAAUUUUUCCAUGUAGAAUGAGUUCCCUCAUAAAAAAUCGAUUUUUGAGAUGAAUUUUCAGACCCAACUUUUAAAGACAUGUAAUUUUUAACAUGGAG